rfam:Lachnoclostridium sp. An298 An298_contig_52, whole genome shotgun sequence.
UAAAAUCUUCGGGGUCGGGUGUAAUUCCCAACCGGCGGUAUAGUCCGCGAACUGCUUUUGAGAGCAGCCGAACCGGUGACUUUCUGAUAAGAAGGAAUUCCGGUACCGACAGUACAGUCUGGAUGAGAGAAGAGAUUU